rnacentral:rRNA from 1 species
UAGUCCACGCCGUAAACGAUGGAUACUAGGUGUCCGGGAUAUUAACCUCCUGGGUACUACAGUUAACGCGUUAAGUAUCCCGCCUGGGGAGUACGGUCGCAAGGCUAAAACUCAAAGGAAUUGACGGGGGCCCGCACAAGCGGUGGAGUAUGUGGUUUAAUUCGAAGCAACGCGCAGAACCUUACCUACCCUUAACAUUUCACGACGUAUACAGAGAUGUAUAUUUCUCUUCGGAGACGUGAGGAUAGGUGCUGCAUGGUUGUCGUCAGCUCGUGCCGUGAGGUGUCAGGUUAAGUCCUAUAACGAGCGCAACCCCUGUUGUUAGUUACCAGUGAGUAAUGUCGGGAACUCUAACAAGACUGCCGGUGCAAACCGCGAGGAAGGUGGGGAUGACGUCAAAUCAUCACGGCCCUUACGUCCUGGGCCACACACGUGCUACAAUGGUAGGGACAGAGAGCAGCCACAACGCGAGUUGGAGCGAAUCUAUAAACCCUAUCACAGUUCGGAUCGGAGUCUGCAACUCGACUCCG